rnacentral:lncRNA from 1 species
GUGAUCUUUCACUUCCUGAAUUCUCUUUGAUUUCACUCCUUAUACUAUCCUGUAUUUCACAGAUCAGCUUAACUAUGUACAUUAUAAAAUCUUUCUCUGACAUUUCUUCUACUAUGCCGUCUAUGGAUUCUAUUGUUGGAACAUCUUGGUUUGUUUGAGGUGCUUUGUUCUCUUGGUUUUUUUUGGGGGGGAGGGGCGUUUCAUGUGUGUCUUCCCAUCUAGUGGUAUGGAUCUGAGGCAGUACUGUUUCUACCCUGUAAUCUUAUAGUGUCAUGAAGGCUACCAGUACCUCACCAUUAAGAGGGAGACCAAUAUUAACAGCACCAAUGCAAAUAAUAUACAAACUUAAACUUAAUAGCUCCUGUUAAGGCAUCUACAGUUCUAUCUCAAUAGACAGAAAUUAUGUGUUCCAUCAUUGUCUGCAAUAUAAACAGUAAGUUUGUUAAAAGCAUUUACCAUUUCAAAUGAUGGACAAAGAUGGAACAGAAGUAGUGUAGGAUGUGAUGUUAUGAGGGAGGAGAGAGGAUAGAGGUAAAAAUUUAUAGUAAGGACUAAGGAGGAAUUAGUAGAGGUUAGCUGUUAGCAUGAGAGAAAUGAGAAAGAAAAUAUAAGGAGACAUAUUAGAGAGAGAAAAAAUAUAUACAGAUUUUUUUAAGUCAAAAAUAUAAGAAUAUACAACUAAACCGUAAUAUACUAUUUGACUUCCCACUCUUCAAUAAAUUGAUGUGUAAAAAAUGUUUUAAUUCUGAGAUAGUAGAGAUGUGAGAGAGAGGGGAAAGAAAAAAAAAGAAAAGAAAGAAAAGUCUCUAUGGGAAAUUGCCAAUUGCAUUCAUUGGCUUUCAAAAAUUUUCUCAGCUUUCCUUCUCUACUGGUAGGUUGGGACUGUCUGAUGUUUGAUAGUAACUCUAGUCUGGUGGGUGUCACACCAGUUGGCAGUGCCAGCAGAUAGCAAGAUUCUCUCAUACCCUCUUCCAGUCUUCCCACCCAUUGUAGCCAGGGCCUGUGAUCACGGCUCACUUCAGGACUUUUACUAAGCAGAUGAGAGCCCAGUUUUCUCAAGUUUCUCCAACAUGUGCCCCCCCCCAGAGAAUUUCCUCCAGUCUCUGUCUUUCCACAGGCUUCUCAGGCCCAGACUGGCACACACAGACCCUGCUGCAAUCUGAUGGACCUGAGCUUCAGCUUCCCCAGGCUCAGCCUUGCUGCAGUACUGCGAUCUCUAAGCUCUUCCAACUUGCAGAAAGACCACCAGGGAUACACUCAUACAAAGGAGCAAUCCUGCAAAGAGGCCACUAGCACACCCAGCAGAUGGUGGCCACUAGCACACCCAGCAGGAAGACCUCAGGUGCAACCAGACCUUCAGGUACCCCAACAAUAUAUUAUACAAACCUGGACAGUGUCCCCAGACUGAGGCAGCUGCACCCUGAGAUAGUGGAGGUAGCUGCAGCAAACCUGCAGGCCCCUUGGCUCUGGACCCCCAGACCCUGGCUGGUGUCCCAAAAUGGCAGCUGCCAUGUGCAGCCAAACCUGCGGGUACCCUGACAAUGGAUUUCCAAGCAGCAGCAGGCACUCCAUGGUCAGUCUGGGGUACUCUGCAGCCAAACGUCAGAUGCUCGGCAGGUAGAUGUCAGGUGGCUGGUGAUGUGCAGGGUAAAGUAAGCAAUGGACACCUGGAAUGUGGAUCAGUGGUGGCAGAGGCCUAUAGACUCCAAACAUCCCUCUCAGAUCCCAAGAGGAAACUGUCUUUAAAACUUUGGUCCUUUAAGGCUGCUGUUAUUGUGACUAUUAACUUUACCCACUUCUUGGUACACUGCUUUCAUUCUCUUAGUUUAAAUUUCUGCCCAAGAUAUGUUGAUAUUACCCUCAUUCAUCCUAGAUACAACUGAGUUUCCAGAUUUGGGGCAUUUUCAACUUCUAGAAUUUGAUGUUUUCAACCCCUAGGAAUUUCUACUCAUACCUAAACUAUGCUUGAAGUAAAUAAGAUGAAAUCUUAACUUUAACCAUUCCAUAAGCAAUUCUCUUGCUCUGUGGCUUCUACCACAUCUCCAUGCAUCAAAUUCCUGAUCCACCAGAGCUGCAGUCAUUGGGUCUCUCUUCUUUCCCCUGUGAAGUUCCCAUACAAGCAAUGUAUUCACAUUGCAUUGAAUAAUAGAGUAAAUGAAAACUGGUAAGACUCCUCUCAUUCUGCAUUUCUCCUGUAACUGACCUGCUUCUGGGUGAGGCCUGUCAUUUCCCCCUAUUGGUCUGUCCUUGUACCAACUACCUAGGAGAAACAUGUCUAUAAUGAGAAGUAAUUGUUCUACUUGUGCUUACAUGAAUCCAUUCUUUUAGAACUGAGUAUCCAACCAAAAGACUCAUUUGGUCUGUAAUAAAGCUUAAGGUAUUACAAGGUUUUAAGAACGUGCUAAGCAGGUCAAAAUCUAGGCAACUAGAAACCUCAAGUAUAAAAAAAUCAUUGUUUUUUCAUUAUGACUUCAGUGACCAAGAUGGUUGUCUCCCCAACAUCCCUUUCCCUCAAGAUUAUUUCUUUGGGUCACUUACCUUAAUUCAUUUGGCCUUACCAUGUGGUAACCAUGGAAAAAACCCAGUACUAGGUAAUCCACAUGAGAAGAAUCCUGCUGGAGGCUGCCUUCCCUGUAAAUGUCUAAGAAGUUUAUUAUACAAAGACGUGACUCCUCCUCCUACACUGGUUAUUGAGCUGCUGUGCUGGGUGGUCUGCUGUCAGUCUGAGAAUGAUGUCAACCCCCAGAAAUGGAAGAGCCAGGAGCAGACGGGAGAAUUUCUGGACACUCAUGAACAAGAUCCAAAACUUAUUCUUUCUUUGGGUUUUUGUUAUAGAAAUAAAUCUGUCUAUGAGGUUUAAGCCAAAAUGAUAUUUUUGUAAGCUUUUUUUGCCUUGAUGUAGCCAAACAAAAGCAACCACCAG